rnacentral:rRNA from 1 species
ACGCUAGCUACAGGCUUAACACAUGCAAGUCGAGGGGCAGCAUGUUGGUUGCUUGCAACCAAUGAUGGCGACCGGCGCACGGGUGAGUAACGCGUAUCCAACCUACCCAAUACUCAGGCAUAACCCGUUGAAAGACGGACUAAUUCCUGAUGGUAUGUAUUUUUCUCAUGAUUUAUACAUUAAAGAAUUUCGGUAUUGGAUGGGGAUGCGUCUGAUUAGUUUGUUGGUGAGGUAACGGCUCACCAAGACUUCGAUCAGUAGGGGUUCUGAGAGGAAGGUCCCCCACAUUGGAACUGAGACACGGUCCAAACUCCUACGGGAGGCAGCAGUGAGGAAUAUUGGUCAAUGGAUGAAAAUCUGAACCAGCCAAGUAGCGUGCAGGAUGACGGCCCUAUGGGUUGUAAACUGCUUUUAUGUGAGAAUAAAGUUAGGUAUGUAUGCUUAUUUGCAUGUAUCACAUGAAUAAGGACCGGCUAAUUCCGUGCCAGCAGCCGCGGUAAUACGGAAGGUCCAGGCGUUAUCCGGAUUUAUUGGGUUUAAAGGGUGCGUAGGCCGUUUGAUAAGCGUGCUGUGAAAUAUAGUGGCUCAACCUCUAUCGUGCAGCGCGAACUGUUGAACUUGAGUGCGUAGUAGGUAGGCGGAAUUCGUGGUGUAGCGGUGAAAUGCUUAGAUAUCACGAAGAACUCCGAUUGCGAAGGCAGCUUACCGUAACGUUACUGACGCUUAAGCACGAAGGUGCGGGUAUCGAACAGGAUUAGAUACCCUGGUAGUCCGCACAGUAAACGAUGGAUGCUCGCUGUUGGCCUUUGGUGGUCAGUGGCUUAGCGAAAGCGUUAAGCAUCCCACCUGGGGAGUACGCCGGCAACGGUGAAACUCAAAGGAAUUGACGGGGGCCCGCACAAGCGGAGGAA